AAAAGAAACUAAAUAGGAUUUCCAUAGUAACUGCGAGUGAACUGGAAUUAGCCCAUCACGAAAUCUAUAUUAUAAUAAUAAUAUCGAAAUGUCGUGUAUAGGUUUUAUUAUUAUUAAUAAAUUAUUAUUAAAUAAUUGUAUUUAAAUAUACAGCCACAGAAGGUGCCAGCCCUGUUAUUUAAUAAUAUUUAUUAAAUUUAUAAAACUUUAGAGUCGUGUUGCUUGGAAGUGCAGCACAAAGUUGGUGAUAAACAUCAUCUAAGGCUAAAUAUUCCUAUGAAUCCGAUAGCGAACAAGUACUGUGAAGGAAAAUUGCAAAGUACUCCGGAGAGAGAGUUAAAGAGGACGUGAAACCGAUACGAUGGAAGCAUACAGAGCCAGUUGCACUAUUAUUAAUAUUUUUUAUUAAUAAUUUUAAGCAUGGGUAUAUUGAUUAUUAAUUAGUUAUUUAUUAAAGAGUGAUAAAAUUUUUUAAAUUUUGUUAACUUUAAUAAAAUAAUUAUAUUUAUAAUUAAUAUUUAUUAUUAUUAAUGUAUUAAUAAUAUUUUAAUUAUUAAUAUAAUAUAAGACACAUGUGUUAAAUAUUAUUUAUUGAUAAUUAUUAUAUUAUUAUAAGUUAAUAAACCUAUGUAAUCCUGGUAUGCUGUAUGUCCCGUCUUGAAACACGGACCAAGGAGUGUAUUGCUAUGGCAAGUCAUUGAUAUUAUUAAUAUCAAAGGCAUAAUGAAAAUAA
rnacentral:rRNA from 1 species